CCUACGGGGGGCUGCAGUGAGGAAUCUUGGUCAAUGGCCGAGAGCCUGAACCAGCCAAGCCGCGUGAGGGAAGAAUGUCCUAUGGAUUGUAAACCUCUUUUGUCAGGGAGCAAAGUCACCCACGUGUGGGUGUUGGAGAGUACCUGAAGAAAAAGCAUCGGCUAACUCCGUGCCAGCACCCGCGGUACUACGGGGGAUGCGAGCGUUAUCCGGAUUUAUUGGGUUUAACGGGUGCGUAGGGGGGUUAUGAAGUCAGCGGUAAAAUCGUGGGGCGAAACUCCAUCCAGCCGUUGAAACUGAUGAUCUUGAGUGGGCGAGAAGUAGGCGGAAUGCGUGGUGUAGCGGUGAAAUGCAUAGAGAUCACGCAGAACUCCGAUGGCGAAGGCAGCAUACCGGCGCCCGACUGACGCUGAAGCACGAAAGCGUGGGUAUCGAACAGGAUUAGAUACCCUGGUAGUC
rnacentral:rRNA from 1 species